rnacentral:rRNA from 1 species
UGGGAAGUAUUGGGCAAUGGGCGAAAGCCUGACCCAGCAACGCCGCGUGAAGGAAGAAGGCUUUCGGGUUGUAAACUUCUUUUCUCAGGGACGAAAGAAAUGACGGUACCUGAGGAAUAAGCCACGGCUAACUACGUGCCAGCAGCCGCGGUAAUACGUAGGUGGCAAGCGUUAUCCGGAUUUAUUGGGUGUAAAGGGCGUGUAGGCGGGAGUGCAAGUCAGAUGUGAAAACUAUGGGCUCAACCCAUAGCCUGCAUUUGAAACUGUACUUCUUGAGUGCUGGAGAGGCAAUCGGAAUUCCGUGUGUAGCGGUGAAAUGCGUAGAUAUACGGAGGAACACCAGUGGCGAAGGCGGAUUGCUGGACAGUAACUGACGCUGAGGCGCGAAAGCGUGGGGAGCAAACAGGAUUAGAUACCC